rnacentral:rRNA from 1 species
GAUGAACGCUGGCGGCGUGCUUAACACAUGCAAGUCGAACGAGAAAUGUAGACGGAAACCUUCGGGCGGAAGCCUUCAUUUCGAGUGGCGGACGGGGGAGUAACGCGUGGGUAACCUGCCUCAUACAGGGGGAUAACAGUUGGAAACGACUGUUAAUACCGCAUAAGACCACAGCAUCGCAUGAUGCGCGGGUCAAAACUCCGGUGGUAUGAGAUGGACCCGCGUUCGAUUAGCCAGUUGGCGGGGUAACGGCCCACCAAAGCGACGAUCGAUAGCCGAGCUGAGAGGAUGACCGGCCACAUUGGGACUGAGACACGGCCCAAACUCCUACGGGAGGCAGCAGUGGGGAAUAUUGCACAAUGGGGGAAAACCUGAUGCAGCGACGCCGCGUGAGUGAAGAAGUACUUCGGUAUGUAAAGCUCUAUCAGCAGGGAAGAAAAUGACGGUACCUGAGGAAGAAGCCCCGGCUAACUACGUG